CAUUAAUUAGCUUAAAAAAAAGCAUUCAGUUUCGACCUGAAUUAUUUAGGUAAUCCUAUGUUAUUAU
rnacentral:tRNA from 1 species